CAGCAGCUGUCACUUCUCCUUCUCCCAACACAUACUUCCCAGAUGCCUUCUGAAGUGUUGAUAUUAAAGAGAUAAGCCUCUCCAAAGGCUUAUCAAAACCAUAGAAAGUUGAAAAGAGAAACUUCUUUAAAUGCCAGUUUAUUAAGAAGAACGAAAGCAUAUGAAAUCAGCAUCAAGGAUCUCAGCGCACAUUCCUGACACUG
ensembl:misc_RNA